CCAAUAUCUAGCUUACCCCCCCCCCAUAAAUAUAUUUACCUCUAAACAAAACAUUCUUACUGUCUAGUAGGGGAGACUGAAAAAUACAUAAACGCUUCAAAAUAAGUACCGCAAGGGAAUGAUGAAAUAAUAAUGAAAUACUUACCAAGCUCAAAAUAGCAAAGCUACCCCUUGUACCUUUUGCAUCAUGGUCAAGCCAGUUCAACUAAGCAAACCGAAAUUUUCAGCUUAGCCUCCCGAAACUGGGGGAGCUAUUUAAAAACAGUCACUAGGACAAACCCGUCUCUGUUGCAAAAGAGUGGGAUAAUUUUUUAAUAGCAGUGAAAAGCUAACCGAACCCAGAGAUAGCUGGUUAUCCAAGAAAAGAAUUUAAGUUCAACCUUAAGCUUAUCAAUUAACUAAAACAAGAUUUUAAACUUAAGAGCCAGUCAAAUAGGGUACAGCUUAUUUGACCUAGGACACAACCUCAUAUAUAGGGUAAUUUCUAAAAAUCCUCAAAGUAGGCCUAAAAGCAGCC
rnacentral:rRNA from 1 species